ACUCCUCAGUCCAAAUUCUCAAAAUGAGGCUCCCUGUUCAGCUCCUGGGGCUGCUGGUGCUCUGGGUCCCUGGAUCCAGUGGGGAGAUUGUGAUGACCCAGACUCCACUCUCCCUGCCGGUGACCCCUGGAGAGCCAGCGUCCAUCUCCUGCAGCUCUAGUCAGAGCCUCCUGCAUAGCAAUGGAAACACGUAUUUGUAUUGGUACCUGCAGAAGCCAGGCCAGUCUCCACAGCUCCUGAUCUAUCGUGUUUCCAACCGGUUGUCUGGGGUCCCAGACAGGUUCAGUGGCAGCGGGUCAGGCACAGAUUUCACACUGAAAAUCAGCAGGGUGGAGGCUGAGGAUGUUGGGGUUUAUUACUGUAUGCAAGCUCUACAAUUUCCUCUCACAGUGGUUCAGCCCCGAACACAAACUUCCCUGUCAGAGUGGCCCAGCUGCUCAAAUGCUCUGCUUGUCUUGGAAACAGGCAGGCAGAUUCCCUGA